AUACGGAGGGUGCAAGCGUUAAUCGGAAUUACUGGGCGUAAAGCGUACGUAGGCGGUUCGUUACGUUAGAUGUGAAAGCCCCGGGCUUAACCUGGGAACUGCAUUUAAAACUGGCGAACUAGAGUUGAGUAGAGGGGAGUGGAAUUUCAGGUGUAGCGGUGAAAUGCGUAGAGAUCUGAAGGAACACCAGUGGCGAAGGCGGCUCCCUGGACUCAAACUGACGCUGAGGUACGAAAGCGUGGGUAGCAAACGGGAUUAGAAACCCUAGUAGUCC
rnacentral:rRNA from 1 species